UACGUAGGGCGCAAGCGUUGUCCGGAAUUAUUGGGCGUAAAGAGCUCGUAGGUGGUCCGCCGCGUCCGCUGUGAAAAUCCAGGGCUUAACCCUGGACUUGCAGUGGAUACGGGCGAACUAGAGGUAGGUAGGGGAGAAUGGAAUUCCCGGUGUAGCGGUGAAAUUCGUAGAUAUCGAGAGGAACACCGGUGGCGAAGGCGACCAACUGGACAGAUACUGACGCUGAGACUCGAAAGCGUGGGGAGCAAACAGG
rnacentral:rRNA from 1 species